rnacentral:lncRNA from 1 species
GUGAAAAACGAUCUUUUUGGAAACUGAAUCUUUGUCAUGUUGUUAUACUGACUGCAAGAUAGAGAGCCAUAGCUUGCUUACCUGUACUUACUGGAAAAUUCAAAAACAAAGAGUAUCCCAUUGAAAACAUGAUGAUUAUGGAGAUGGCACCACCAUCCACUCGUGUGUGUACUCUUCAUCAGUUUUGACAGCUAGCAUCUACAAGACUUACUGCGUAUCACUGAAGUGCUUAA